CGGGCUCCCAGAGCAGGAAUUCGUGGAGCAGCGUGUUGACCGUCUCGGGGCAUUCCAGCAUCACCAUGUGGCUGCCCUCGUCGAUGAGCUUCAGGAAUGCCAGGAGCAGGAUCUGCAGAAGACGCAGGGCUCAAGAUGGAGUCCUGCUCUGUUGCCCACGCUGGAACACAGUGGCGCGAUCUUGGCUCACUGCAACCUCCGCCUCCCGGGUUCAAGUGAUUCUCCUGUCUCAGCCUCCCGAGUAGCUGGGAUUACAGGCAUCUGCCAUUAUGCCCGGCUAAUUUUUGUAUUUUUAGUAGAGACGGGGUUUAACCGUGUUAGUCAGGCUGGUCUUGAACUCCCGACCUCAGGUGAUCUGCCCACCUUGGCCUCCCAAAGUGCUGGGAUUAGAGGCGUGAGCCACCGUGCCUGGCCAAAAAAUGUUUCCUAAAUAAAGUUUUAUCAGAAGUUCCAA